UAUAUCGCAACGGUGCGUGCGUACAAGUGCCCUAGGCUGACGCGCCCUUCUCUCUGGCAGUGGGCGGAGACAAUAAGGAGUGCUUCAUAGAGGUCGUCGACCUGCUGGCCAGCGACACAGUUUCAAAUCGCUUCGGGCCGCGGCCGCUGGUAUCUAUAACGGUGGAAUCAAACGAUAACGCUAUGGAAGCAUAGAAUAUAAUUUUGUAUUUAUAAAAUAUAUUACCCUGUUUACAAAAUA